rnacentral:rRNA from 1 species
AUUGAACGCUGGCGGCAGGCCUAACACAUGCAAGUCGAGCGGAGCGGCGGACGGGUGAGUAAUGCCUAGGAAUCUGCCUGGUUGUGCGGGAUAACGUCAGGAAACGGGCGCUAAUACCGCAUACUAUCAGAUGAGCCUAGGUCGGAUUAGCUAGUUGGGGGGGUAAAGGCCUACCAAGGCGACGAUCCGUAACUGGUCUGAGAGGAUGAUCAGUCACACUGGAAAUGGGACAAGGUCCCAAAUCCGACGUGAGGCAGGAUUGGGGAAUAUUGGACAAUGGGCGGAAGCCUGAACCAGCCAUGCGGCGUGUGUGAAGAAGGUCUUCGGAUUGUAAAGCACUUUAAGUUGGGAGGCGUUACCAACAGAAUAAGCACCGGCUAACUUCGUGCCAGCCGCCGCGGUAAUAC